AACCUAGCACACCUGCGGUGUGUACCUGCGGAGGGAUCAUUAACGAAUAUCUAUGGCGUUGGUUGUAGCUGGCUCCUAGGAGCAUUUGUGCACACCCGUCAUUCAUAUCAUCUUUCCACCUGUGAACUAUGUGUAGGCUUGGAUACCUCUCGCUUUGGUGACAAGGCGGAUGCAAGGAUUGCUGCGUCGACAAGGCCAGCUCUCUUUGAAUUUCCAGGUCUAUGUCUUUUUACACACUCC
rnacentral:misc_RNA from 1 species